rnacentral:rRNA from 1 species
GCUCUUUUAUAAGGUCAUAAAAUUUUUUUUAUUUAAUAUUUUGUGUUAGAUUUGAUAAUAAAACAAUAUUUAACUAAGCUAGUUUUUAGUAUUCUGUAUAGAACUUUUUAAAUCUGGUGGCCCUUUAUAGUGUACCGUGAGGGAAAAUUGAAAUAUUAACUAAAUAAAGCAUUAUAAAAAAACUAUGGUGUUGUACUUUUUGUAUUACGGUAAAACAAAUAAUUUAAUAUUUCUGUUGUAAAACGAAACAGGACGAUCUAAUCUUUUCUUCAGUUAAAGCUGAGCUGUUAGGGUGUCGCAAAACUUCUAGCAUGAGGAAAGAUUUGUAGUAAAAUGUUAAUCGUGUUCUGUGUUAGCUUUUAUAAGGAAUUAAGUAUUAGCUUAAAUUGAAAUUGUUCAAUGGAGAAAUUUUCGGAUGAGCGUAAACUUCUUUUGGGAGACAGCCAUAUUUAUUUGAGAAGGGCAUUAAAAUAAGAGACAUUAUAAGGUGAGUAGGUUAUUUUUAGCAACUUCUUCAAUCAGUGCGUUGUAGCAGGCUUAUUUUUUAUUUUUAAUUGUUGUUCUUUUUCCUAUCUUGUUUUGUUUUACUUAUACGAAGAAUUUGUUCUUAUGUUAAUGUUUUAAUGAGUAAGUUAUUCCAGUUUAUAGGAUAACCUUCUUACAGAUAAUAAUAAAUAACUUAUCUUAAAAGUUGUUGUAUUCUUAUUAAAGGUGGAAUUAUAAUUAAUUAAGUAGUAAAAGGAACUCGGCAAAUUUUUCUUGCGCCUGUUUACCAAAAACAACGCCCCUGGAUUGUGAUCAAUGGGUUCUGCCUGCCCGGUGACUUAGCGUUAAACGGCUGCAGUAUUCUGACUGUGCAAAGGUAGCAAAAUCAAUUGUUCAUUAAUUGUGGACUAGUAUCAACGGCUAGACGACAAGAAAGCUGUCUCUUUCUACUGAGCCUGAAUUUUACGUUUAGGUGAAGAGGCCUAAAUUUAUAAGUGGGACGAGAAGACCCUAUUGAGCUUUAAUUCCUCGAUAAAGAUUUUUACUCUUGAGAAUUUGGGUUGGGGCAACUGGUCUUAAUUUUAAAACAAGACUAAUUUUAAAGUUGAAUUUAUUCAAUUAUUGACCCAAAACAUUUUGAUUAUUAGAAAAAGUUACCUUAGGGAUAACAGCGUAAUUUUUUCAGAGAGUCCUUAUUGACGAAAAAGUUUGCGACCUCGAUGUUGGAUCAUAGUUUUCCUAGGGGGUGCAGCAGCUCCUGAGGGUUCGGUUUGUUCAACCAUUAAAAGCUAGUACGCGAUCUGAGUUCCAGUCCGUCGUGAGCACAGGACCAGUUUCUAUCUACUAAAUCUCUUUUCUUGUACGAAAGGACUUUAAGAGGUAGCCAAUUAAUAUUUAAAGCUAUAACUAAUACUUGAAUUAAAAUAUAAAGA